UACGGAGGGUGCAAGCGUUGUCCGGAUUUAUUGGGUUUAAAGGGUACGUAGGCGGCUAAUUAAGUCAGUGGUGAAAUCCUGCAGCUUAACUGUGGAACUGCCAUUGAUACUGGUUAGCUUGAGUACUGUUAAGGUAGGCGGAAUUGAUGGUGUAGCGGUGAAAUGCAUAGAUACCAUCAGGAACACCGAUUGCGAAGGCAGCUUACUGGGCAGAAACUGACGCUAAUGUACGAAAGCGUGGGGAGCGAACAGG
rnacentral:rRNA from 1 species